ACUGGGAAACUUGAGUGCAGAAGAGGACAGUGGAACUCCAUGUGUAGCGGUGAAAUGCGUAGAUAUAUGGAAGAACACCAGUGGCGAAGGCGGCUGUCUGGUCUGUAACUGACGCUGAGGCUCGAAAGCAUGGGUAGCAAACAGGAUUAGAUACCCUGGUAGUCCAUGCCGUAAACGAUGAGUGCUAGGUGUUGGAGGGUUUCCGCCCUUCAGUGCCGCAGCUAACGCAUUAAGCACUCCGCCUGGGGAGUACGACCGCAAGGUUGAAACUCAAAGGAAUUGACGGGGGCCCGCACAAGCGGUGGAGCAUGUGGUUUAAUUCGAAGCAACGCGAAGAACCUUACCAGGUCUUGACAUCCUUUGACCACUCUAGAGAUAGAGCUUUCCCUUCGGGGACAAAGUGACAGGUGGUGCAUGGUUGUCGUCAGCUCGUGUCGUGAGAUGUUGGGUUAAGUCCCGCAACGAGCGCAACCCUUAUUACUAGUUGCCAGCAUUUAGUUGGGCACUCUAGUGAGACUGCCGGUGACAAACCGGAGGAAGGUGGGGACGACGUCAAAUCAUCAUGCCCCUUAUGACCUGGGCUACACACGUGCUACAAUGG
rnacentral:rRNA from 1 species